GGGGUCCCUGGGCUUUCCCCUAGGGUCCCAUCAGCUGCUUAUGUUCUACCUUCUGACGGAUCACAGGAGGAGCCUGCAGCGGAGGAGCCUCCUCCUCCUCAGCAUCAGACCUAAAGGGAGUGUCCUGCCUGAAGGACCGGCUCAAGGUCGCACUAACAGCUCUUGCUAACUCCUGUUCCAGGCUGUUUAUCUGGGCCUCCAAGUACCCUGCUUGCGCCUGGAGGUCUCUCACCCCCAGGUCCUGCUCAAAGCUGUGCACUUGGGCCCCCAGGCAUGCGGCUUGCUCCGGAAGGUCCCUUACCUGUGGCACUGAGCAUGUACUUCCUGCAGUGCAGUUAGAAAUGCCCAUCCGACUCUGCUUGCAAAGUUCCUUUAUUUAUAGGCACAGCUGCUUAAAGACUGUUACCGGAAAGGAAUCCUGAUCCAGACGCCAAGAGAGGGUUCUUGGACUCAUGCAAGAAAGACUUCAGCUGGCUGCAGAUGACAGUGACACCCUGGGAGUUGAGAAAUGCUUGUAAGAUGGAAGGAGGCUGUGUCCCUGAAUGAUCACCUGGAAGAGAGCCACCUUAGCCAAUGAAACUCCUGCUAUGAAUGUUUGCUGAGCAAGAAAUAUACUUACUGCUUUAUAUGCCUUUGAAGCUAUAGGUUCAUAUUGUUACCACAAUUUAAAGUGCUAUAAUAAAAAGAGUUCAGGAAGCAGGCACAUGGAAGCAAUAAGAGCAACAAACAUUUACACAGUUCUCAGGUCCCUGGACCAUGAAGGGCCACAUCCAAGGAGCUACCCCAGGAGGCCUCUCAUUUGCAUUUGUCCCCGCUAAUGCAGGACAGAGAUCAUGGAAGUUGGGCCCGACUGGAUGAGAUUUGGGGGUCUUUGGAAGUGGAGAAUGUGUUUGCCCUGGGGAAGAGAGGUGAUGUCUAGGAGACCUCUUCACUCAGGGCAAGCUCUAUGACCUGCUUUGACUCCAGAAUGUGGUAGAAGUGGCAUCACAUAAAUUGCAGAGCCUAGGCUUCAAGAGACCUUGCAACUUGCCUCUCACUGACUUGAAGUGCUCCCAUCAGAGCAUCUUGUAAGGAGCAGGUGGAGCAUGUGGACAAGCCAUCCCCACCAGCCCCUGAGACAUGUGAGAGAGGCCAGAACAGGCCAUCCGGACCCCACUGUGCUGGUGGAUGAGACAGCAGAAGGAAUAUCAACCUACCAACAGAAUCCUGAGAAAUGCUCACUCUUACUUCAAGCUGCUGCAUUUUGAUGUUAUGAAACCAUAAAUAACUUAUGAAGUCAUCUUUGCUGACUUAAAGUUUUCCAUAACUUUAUUAUAACAUAUCAAAAUUAUGAAAAAUGUGAAAAGUAGAAAACUGAUGAAUUUUGCUUCUUCAUAUGGUCUUUAAGAAUCUCAAAGGCACUGAAGUUUUUUAUCUUUUCUGUCUUAGAAUAAAAAACCUUGAAUGAAAAUCUGCUUCUUGGAAAAGCAGCAAGGUUUAUGCAGAGGCAAUCUGGUAUUUGUGUGCACUGGCAGCUGAUCAUACCCAGCAUGCACGCACUCUCAGGGCAGAGUCUGAUGCCCCACAUAAUGGGGCAUGGUAAGGACUCCCAUGUCCUUGAGAUAAAAUGAUAAGGAAAAUACACACUGCUAUUAGAAUAACAGGCCCAGCUUCUGCACAUUUUAAUUCCCAAAGUUUUCAUGAAAGACAAUGAUUUUUUGGUACCAUGUUUAACUCUACAAGAAUCAGUAGUGAAAACUAAAAAUGAUACUUUGUGAAAGUUCAUUAAUUUUGUUUUCAGCCAGUGGUGGCCUUGGUCAGAUAGAAUCAAAUCUAUGAUACUUUUUAUCAGAAAUGCUUAUACUGUGUACAAACCCAAAGUGAUGGCUUUCAAAGAUUGAAUUUGAUUAUUUUCUGUAUGGUGCAGAUGAAAAAUUACUACACAGGAGAAGGUGGGUUGGAGGUGCUCACGAGUAACCAGGAAACAGUCUGAAGUUUUUCUGAUACUUCUCCUUGGUCCAACCAAAUGUGAGAUAUAAACACAAACUUGGGAUUCCGUUCUUAUGUUUUGGUUGUUUCAGUCUUUACAGAUGUAUCGAAAGGCUGUCCAAAAAUGUCUGACUUCUGUAGUGUGCCUUCGUAGCACUAGAGGGUUCUGCAGCUGUGAAACUGAAGGCAUUGGCAAGAAGCCCUCCAUCUUCAAACCACUUUCUGCUAAGGUGUGGCUCUAUAAAACCACUAUGAGCUGGGCUUCACUGAGACUGAGUUGUUUCAGUAGGAUCUUCCGGAAAAACAUGUUCCCUCCUUUACCUGGGUUGUCAUUCUGAGAACAAUCACACCUCCAAUUUUGGCUUACUAAGCAAUAGCGUUUUAAUGAUUUUAAGCCAGGAUUUGCUCCUCCUUUCCUCAGUAUGAGAGCUUAACCACUGGAGGAACCAAGAAUUCAUGCUGGUUGGGUUCUGAUUCCACUUUAACUUACUGUAUAGCCUCAUCCCUUGUUUUUCUGGAGAUUCUCUUUUUCUGCUUCACUGAUUUAUAUUUACAUUAAAAUCAAAUGAGGCCAUGUUUCUGAAAUCACAUUGUCCCUACAUGGUCAUUACAAUGAGUCUGUAAUGUGACUGAAAGACAGCCAUGGAUACAGGUAGAGGAUAUCAGGCAAUUGAAUGCUCAUCAAGCAUUCAAUUCAGGGCAAAUGGCAUAAGGUAUGCAGUUGGCCUCUUCUGAUAUCUGUGUCUUAAUCCUUUCUUUAGCCUCUGUUUUCUGGACCAAGGCUAAGAUAUUUUCUGGGCACAGUGGCUCAUGCCUAUAAUCCCAGCACUCUGGGAGGCCAAGGUGGGAGGAUUUCUUCAGCCCAGGAGUUCGAGACCAGCCUGGGGAACAUAGGAGACCUCAUUCCUACAAAUAAUAAAAAAAAUUAGCCAGCUCUGGUGGCGUGUGCUUAUUGGUCUCAGCUACUUGGGAGGCUGAGGUGGGAGGACUGCUUGAGCCCAGAAGAUCGCAGCUGCAUUGAGCCAUGAUUGUGCCACUGAACCCUAGCCUGAGCAACAGAGCAAGGCCUUAUCUCAAAAAAAAAAAAAAAUUCUGAGCCUUCUAAUUUUUUUUUUCUUUAAUUAACUUUCUGUAAGCCCAGCAAGUAAAUAAAACACUUAUUUUAUGAAGCAUCUAGUUGCUUUUAGGGGAAGGGACAUCCUCCGCAUAGUAUCUAGGCCAGCUCACUUUCUUCUCCUUACUGUUGAUUUACUCUCUGCCAUUGAAUCUUCUGUGCCAAUGUUGGAUUAAUGUUUCCGGGCCCUACUUUCAUCAUGCUCCUCUGUAUUAUCACCUGUUUUGGUUUACAGCAAUGAUUUUUAAGGUAAGGCAUGGUGUGUCCAUCAUAGUCACAUGGGAACUUUUUCAAGCCAUAUUAAAAAUGUCCCCCAUUCAUCAUUCUGCCCCUGGAACAGUGUGUGCAGUUGGGACCUUCAAGUAAAUCUACUUUGUUGAAACCCACUGAUCAGCAUGGUGUAUUUCAUAACUCUUUGACUUACAUUCAAGAAAUUCCUUAACCUGAACUCCAUUUUACUCUUUUUUUCAUUCAUUCAAAUUAAGAAUAUUGCCUGAACAUGAAUUAUCUGCUAGACGUUUUUCUAGGUGCAGGAGGAGUAAGGAUGAACAUAACUAGCCAUAACUAUAGCUAUCAAUUGUGGAGUGUCUGUUAUGUGCCAGGCACUUUUAAGUGACCUACUCGAUUUACUUGCAUGACAAACUGUGAGGAAAAGCCCAAUAUUAUCCCCUAUUAACAGAUGAGGAAACUGAAGCACAAACAGCAUGAAUAGUUUGUUCCAGAUUGCAUCAUAAGAGGCACAGCCAGCUUUCCUACCAAAGCAGCCCUGGCCCAGAGUCCGUACUCCCUCCUCCCCUGCCUCUGCCUGGUGGAUAAGGUCACCCUGGCCUUGUGGAACUUAUGCUCUAGUGGGGACAAAUAGUUAUAGAGAAUGACCGAUGUUACUAAGAAAAUAAAAGCUGGUAAGAAAACAGAAGCACUGAGGAGGUGACUGAAGUGAGCAUUUAUAAUUUUAUGUUAUAUCCAUUGUAAAAUAUAAGUUUAGCUUUCUCAUACCAGAAGCAGGGCUCAGUCCACCCUUGACUCAGUUUCCAAUACUGUUCCCCAUCAGAAUGGCUCUUGCUGGUGGCCAGAAGUAAAACUUAGAAAUAUCUCUCUCAGAGACACCUAAGCAGGCUGGGCUCCCCGGUUUCCUGUUGCUUCCUUUAAAGAAGCUCUUCAGACAUCUGCACAAGAACUCAAAGUGACCACCUCUCAGCCCAGCAUGACCUACUGGAACUAAUGCCUGCUUGCUUUCAACCUACCAAUUAAAGCUCCCCAGGAAACCUGUUUAGAUAACACCCUGGACCCAAGAAAGGUGCUGGGCCAUGGGUUUCUUCUCUCUCUCCCUAUCUGUGCUCCCUGACCCCCUGUGUGUGUGUGGUCUCUAGGCUUGCCUUCUAUCCCUGAGGGUCUGUAAAUACUAAAAACACUUAAACUUUCAUAUUGUAGUUGUGUCUUUGAAGCCAGGUCCCCAUCCCGUACCUUGAGGGCAAGGCCUCCUGGAAGGGACCCAUGUAGGUGGAUCCCCUGCUGUCCAGGCCUCUUAGCUGCUGGGGUAGUGACCAGUUAAGUGGAUAGAGUUUCAUUCAAAACAAUAAUCAUUCAACUGUAUCUCACAUCAAACCUCUGCUCUAGUUUAUGUAUCUACUUUAUGUUCUUAGAAGACUGUGCAAACACAUUGUCUUUUUUGAGUACCUGUCUUGUCCUAGGUACUCUGCUUGGUACGGGGAGAGACGAAUCUUCUGUCUUCAGGGGCUUCCACUCCAGCAGGGAGAACAUGACUAAUAGUGACUGCCUGCUGCUGUAGGUAAUAAGUGGCUCCCACUAGGCCCUCCAUUUGGUGGCCCCCUGUCCCUCUCACUGGUGGAAGCCUACCUGUCCUCUAAGGACCAGCUCACUAAUGUCCUAGAUCCUCACGGACCAGAUUGCUUUUCUCAGAACUGAAGAGCACUUACUAAUGGCACCUCUUGUCAUAUGCCAUCCCAGGAUUUGAAUUUUUUUUUUUUUUCUGUCUUGUGGCCCAAAUAAAUCCUGAACUCCUCGAGGGCUGGGAGUGUAUCUAGCAGUUUCCUUAUACUGGACUAAUCAGAUGCUGACUAGGUAGCAGUGAGAAAAAUCUAGAAAUUCCCUUUUAGCCACAUCGACUUACACGAGGGGAUGUGUGUAAGGUACUAUAGCUCUUUAAACAAGAGGUGGUCUCGUUUGAAGGGUGGAUUGAUGUGGGUGUUCAAAUGAUGUCACAAGUGGCUGGUUUCUCUGUCUCCAUUUCUUUUUUUUUUGGCUCCAUUUCCAAAUUUCCCAGAUAGCACAGCAAGUUGGCCCCAGCAGCUCUAGACACUCCAUCUUCUCAGGGCAUAGCCAACACAAUAAAAUAUUUCAAGUUCCUGAAAGAUAGCUGAAAUAAGCCCUAGAAGUUUCUGGAUUGGGAGCAGAGCCAAACCUGCCAGCUCACAUAGAUGAGGGCAGGGAAUAGGGUGUCUCACGAUCACAGUGUCCUGCCUUCUGAUUUGCCUGGGACUGUCCUGUUUUGGCACCAAAAAUAUCUGCAUCCUAGGAAACCCUCAGGUCCUGGGCAAAUUCAGACAGUGACUUGCCCUAUCAGAAGCAAAGCAAGGUGCCAUUACCUGAGGUGGGCAAAUUCAGACAGUGACUUGCCCUAUCAGAAGCAAAGCAAGGUUGCCAUUACCUGAGGUGGGCAAAUGGAGGCUGGGUGGCCAGUGAGUGACCAAUAACCCCAGCAUUGGAGAGAGUGGAGCAGCCCUUCAAGAAGUUCCAACCUCUGCCCAGGACUGGUUUUACCAACUUCACUAGGCUUAGAAUCGUAGGAAGUCUAUUUGGGACUUGCGAGUCUCACGUAUUCCUGCCUAAAUGUUUAUGGAUACCUGUUUAGAGCUGAAAUCUUUUCAGCUCCCAUAAUAUGAGGGAAUUAGGUCUCAAAGAAGAUCAUGUAUUUUGAUCAGACCUUAUAGCUGAGCAGUGGAAAGAAAAAAAAUCAGUGUGAGAUCUCCCAGGGUUCCGCAGGAGUGGCUUCCUUAGUCCAACUGGCAGCCUAUCCUGGAAUAUUGCCUGGGAGAGAGGUUAGUUGCUUUUCCUGGUGCUAGGAACUGAAUGGUUUUACAUAUUGAUCAAUGAAAAUACUUAUUUGGCCUACAAUAGGUGCAAAAAUACUGCUAAUUACUAACAGUAUCUCUUCUUUGCUGCGUGCCAGACACUCCACUGGGCAUUAUGCAGUUAAUAUGUACCAUGAAUUUCCCGUGGUUAGCAAUGAUGUCAGGCAUAGAAAAGACAUGAAAUUAUGAUGUCAAAUGAAUAAACUGGAAAAAGGAAUUUCUUGAAUUUUCUCCAGCUGUCCUAAGAAUGUAUCUAUACUUUGAUCCUGGCCUACCUUUUCAACAUCUAAACUUUAUUCCCCCAAGCUUCUAGAUAUUCAAAGUUAAGUAUUAAAUAAAAUCAGUAAAUAUAUACAAGCUUGUUUGGCCAUUCUGAAUAAGGUUAUAUUUCCACCACACAAUCUCCAAAUUCUCUAGCAGAAGGGAUCAGUAUGUUAUAGAUACCCCCUUUCCUUCCCUCCCUGGCAAGCCACCACAUCUGUUAUGGGUACUCAAUGCAGUGGCUGCACCUGGGCCUCACUCAUUAAGCAGUUGUUGAUUGAGUGACUGAAUUGAAUGCCUGAUGAGCUCGCAAGUAAGAUUCAGACUGUGCCUGCAAACUAAUAGGAUCCCUCCGCUUUUUAUUCACUACUGCUGAGGUAGAUCUCAGGCCAGCCUGAAGUUUAGGUCUACUGAGAAAUAAUAAGCCUCAAAAAUCGAGCUUUGCUUCACCCAGUCUCCCAGUAAACACUAAGAAAUGUUCACAUUAUUUACACAUCCUAGACUGCCUGUCUUAUGGACCAAAUGUUUGUGUUCUCCCCGCAAUUUAUACAUUGGAAUCCUAACCCUCAAUGUAAUAGCAUUAGGUGCUGGGGUCUUUGGGAGGUGAUUGGCUAAUGGACCUGGAGCCCUCAUGAUGGGAUGAGUCCCCUUAUCAGAAGAGACCUGAGAAGGCUUGCUUCCUCUCCCUGUGCUCUUCAUGAUGUGAAGACACAAGAAGACAGCCAUCUGUGGGCCAGGAAGAGGUCCUCACUGGAACCCAACCAUGCUGGCACCCCAAUCUUGAAUUUCUAGCUUCAAGAACUUGGGAAAUAAAUGUAAGCCAGCCAGCUUAUGGAUUUGUUACAGCAGCCUAAGCUAAGUCAGAGUCUCUAGAACAGCUGGUCUGGGGCAGCGGUGAAGGGAGGUGGGUGGGCAUAUGACCCUGCCCUGCACAUGAAUGGCAAAGGCAACUGGAGAGCCUCUCCCUUUUGGUGAGAUCCCCAGUCCACAAGGGCAUGUUCAUCCAUAGCUUUACUUCCCGAAGCAAAUUCUGGUUCCUGGGGCCUGUGCCUCCAUAGAUGGCAUGAUCUGCAGCCUCCUGUGGUAAUUUACCCUCUUCCUAAAUUUCUGAGUCUUCACAUUUAAGCAAUCCUAGUUAGAUAUCCUCUACCUGUAUCCAUGGCUGUCUUUCAGUCACAUUACAGACUCAUUGUGAUGACCAUGUAGGGACAAUGUGAUUUCAGAAACAUGGCCUCAUUUGAUUUUAAUGUAAAUAUAAAUCAGUGAAGCAGAAAAAGAGAAUCUCCAGAAAAACAAGGGAUGAGGCUGUACAGCAAGUUAAAGUGGAAUCAGAACCCAACUGUAGUCCAUUAUUUGUUUCAAUCCUGCUCUUUUCUACCAUAUCACCCAGUUUCCAAAUCGUUCAGCAAAUUGCCAUGGUCAAUGGGAUUAACCUUUCCCUUUUAUUCUCAGGAAAUCUCCCUUGUCCAUUUUGCAAGACUGUGUGAUUCUUUCUACUGUUACAAGGAAUAAAAGCCUUCCUAAAAAGGUCUUUGGUGCCUUUAUUAUUUUACGGAUCAUUUCUGAGGGAAUUAUUGAACUUCAUUAUGUAACCACCCCUUGGGUUCACCUUGCCCACUGCCUAGACAGAGCCAAUUUAUCCAGACAGGAGAAUUGCAAUGGAGAAAGAGUAAUUC
rnacentral:lncRNA from 1 species